AUACGGAGGAUCCAAGCGUUAUCCGGAUUUACUGGGUUUAAAGGGUGCGUAGGCGGACUGAUAAGUCAGUGGUGAAAUCCUGCAGCUUAACUGCAGAACUGCCAUUGAUACUGUUAGUCUGGAGUAUGGUUGAGGUAGCUGGAGUGUGUCAUGUAGCGGUGAAAUGCUUAGAGAUGACACAGAACACCGACGGCGAAGGCAGGUUACCAACCCAUUACUGACGCUGAGGCACGAAAGCGUGGGGAUCAAACAGGAUUAGAUACCCUGGUAGUCCACGCCGUAAACUAUGAUUACUAGUUGUUGGCGAUACAUUGCCAGUGACUGAGCGAAAGCAUUAAGUAAUCCACCUGGGGAGUACGUUCGCAAGAAUGAA
rnacentral:rRNA from 1 species